rnacentral:rRNA from 1 species
CAGUAGCCGCGGGAAUACGGAGGGUGCAAGCGUUAAUCGGAAUUACUGGGCGUAAAGCGCACGCAGGCGGUCUGACAAGUCAGAUGUGAAAUCCCCGGGCUUAACCUGGGAACUGCGUUUGAAACUGUCAGGCUGGAGUCUUGUAGAGGGGGGUGGAAUUCCAGGUGUAGCGGUGAAAUGCGUAGAGAUCUGGAGGAAUACCGGUGGCGAAGGCGGCCCCCUGGACAAAGACUGACGCUCAGGUGCGAAAGCGUGGGGAGCAAACAGGAUUAGAUACCCGUGUAGUCCCUGUCUCUUAUAA